CAAUGAGGAGACGCAAGGUGAAAAAACCUCUUAGGCUAUCAGCGGUUAGACAAAUUCUACACUAGUUGACAAACAAAAAGGAAGCAUAACAAGUUGACAAACAAAAAGGAAGCAUAAAAAAGCACUUGAGAGAUGCUUCUUGUUGGUCUCAGAAUCUUAACAUAGAUCAGAUGUACUCUUUCUUGAGUUGUCUGGCUGAAAGUAGUGGUUUGUUUGGAGGAAUGAAAUGAAAGAUUAUAACAUGGAUGAUGGGGAGAUAGAGCUUUCGGAUCAUGUUUUGUUACCGAAUCCCGAUUCAUCUGGCAGUUUGCAGAGCUCUGCAUCUGUGGAUUCACUUCUUGAUGAAUUCUUGAAGAAUACGAGAACAUGUACUCACACUCACACUUGCAACCCCCUUGGCCCUGACAUAACUCAUACACAUACAUGCUACCACACACACACCCAAGUCAUUACUUCUGAAGAAGAUGAUGACGUAAACAAUAGAGAGCAUUCCAAUUCUAAAGUAAAAAGGCCAGCAGGAAAUAGAGAAGCAGUUCGAAAGUACAGACAAAAAAAGAAGGCACAUACUGCUUACUUAGAAGAGGAAGUGAAGAAAUUGCGUAUAUCGAACCAGCAGCUGGUGAGGAAAAUACAGCAGCAGGUAAUUCUUGAAGCCGAGGUUUUGAGGCUAAGAAGCAUAUUGAUGGGCCUGAGGGGAAAGAUUGAUACUGAAUUGGGUGUGUUACCAUUCCAAAAUCAGGGUGACGCUACUGCUGCUUUCAAGGAUGGCAAUUGUGGUGCGCAGUCUACUGGUGGGCCAAUGAAUCUACAGUGUCAGACAGAUUUACCGUGCUUCCAUACUCAAGUAGUAGGUUCGUCUUCGCGGGUUAAUAUUGACGGAAAUGACAAAUUGAUGGAAUCAUGGGAAGGGACUUGUCAGCCUGUGAUAUUAAAUUCUCAGGCUAACAUGGAUAAUAUGGCAACUACAGAAGGACACGCAAUGGACAUGGUGGAAGCCUUGAUGUCAUCUGCCUCUCAAGUUCAAUAACCAGAGGGAAAGAUAAUAUCUUUUCAGAUUUUUGAAGUGGUGGUAGACACAACAGACAUGGUCAUUCUAUUUACAUACAUGCUUUAUUGUAUUUACACUUUGUGAAUCUGUGAUGAUGGUGAAAAUGGUUAUUUCAUCCGGCUGUGCCCAAUACAACUUUCCUUUGGUUUUUCUAGUUUUGCUUCUCCCUUUUGGUCUGUUCUUGAGUAAGCUUCCGAAGUCGAAGUAAAACUGUAAAGGUAGUUAAUAAAGCAUGCUCACCGAGUGCUAUGAUGCAGAGGCUGGCAUCCUCACCUUGAUGACCUCUGCUUGAUGAAAUGUAUCGAGGUACUUAGCAUCAGUUUCUAUGUCCACUAUAAGUGAUACCAAAUGCAGCAGAAGGUUAAAACAGGUCCCUUAUUCCCACGUCAAUGAAAAUUGUGUGUGUGCCGGGAUAGAGGGGAUUUCCACACUUACCAAAUCACCUAGGUUUGUAAAGUGGUGUCCUGUCCCUUUCAUAUUGUUCAAGUAAAAUGGUGUAUGCAACUGCUUGUAGCUAGAUGCCCUUGCCUUUGCCUGGUCAAGGAUCCUGCUCUUGGUGCAAGUCCUUGCAAAAUAUGGCCAAAACUUGGAUUUGAAUGUAAAUAAUUGGUCCUAAUUCACCAUGAUCUCUUUAAAUAUA